UGGGGAAUAUUGGGCAAUGGAGGCAACUCUGACCCAGCAACGCCGCGUGAAUGAUGAAGGUCUUCGGAUUGUAAAGUUCUGUGAUGGGGGACGAAGAAAGUGACGGUACCCCAAGAGCAAGUCACGGCUAACUACGUGCCAGCAGCCGCGGUAAUACGUAGGUGACAAGCGUUGUCCGGAAUGACUGGGCGUAAAGGGUGCGUAGGUGGUUUUGUAAGUUAGUAGUGAAAUUCCGUUGCUCAACGACGGCGCUACUACUAAGACUGCAGGACUUGAGUGCAGGAGAGGUAAGCGGAAUUCCUAGUGUAGCGGUGGAAUGCGUAGAUAUUAGGAGGAACACCAGUGGCGAAAGCGGCUUACUGGUCUGUAACUGACACUGAGGCACGAAAGCGUGGGGAG
rnacentral:rRNA from 1 species